GAGCCGAUCAGGAUGUUGUCCGGCAUUGGAGAGUGUCCAUUCGUCCUCCGUUUUUUCUGUUAGUCUGUCCCUUCAUCCCUGCUUGUGCUUCCAAGAUGUUUCGUGUGAGAAGGUUGAGGGAAGGCCGAUGUCCCCACUGGCUGUUGGCUGUGAUGGAAGCGGCCAGGAGUCGUGCGGGCAGCUGUUGGAGGGAGCCGUGGCGGAACGGUGGAGGUGGCGGUGAGUGGUGACAGCCCCGUGUCGGGUGUCGUGCAGGCACGUGAGGCUCUCCCCUGAACAGUGUGU